rnacentral:rRNA from 1 species
AUUGAACGCUGGCGGCAGGCCUAACACAUGCAAGUCGAGCGGAUGAAGGGAGCUUGCUCCUGGAUUCAGCGGCGGACGGGUGAGUAAUGCCUAGGAAUCUGCCUGGUAGUGGGGAUAACGUUCGGAAACGGGCGCUAAUUCCGCAAACGUUCCUGGGGAGAAAGGGGGGGAUUUUUGGACCCCACGGCAUCAGGUGGACCUAGGUCGGAUUAGCUAGUUGGUGGGGUAAAGGCCUACCAAGGCGACGAUCCGUAACUGGUCUGAGAGGAUGAUCAGUCACACUGGAACUGAGACACGGUCCAGACUCCUACGGGAGGCAGCAGUGGGGAAUAUUGGACAAUGGGCGAAAGCCUGAUCCAGCCAUGCCGCGUGUGUGAAGAAGGUCUUCGGAUUGUAAAGCACUUUAAGUUGGGAGGAAGGGCAGUAAGUUAAUACCUUGCUGUUUUGACGUUACCAACAGAAUAAGCACCGGCUAACUUCGUG